UAGGUCUGCUGGUUCAGUACCACUACGUCUUGGCUGGUUCAGUGUGACAGGGUCUAGGUCUGCUGGUUCAGUGUGACAGGGUCUAGGUCUGCUGGUUCAGUGAGACAGGGUCUAGGUCUGCUGGUUCAGUGUGACAGGGUCUAGGUCUGCUGGUUCAGUGAGACAGGGUCUAGGUCUGCUGGUUCAGUGAGUCAGGGUCUAGGUCUGCUGGUUCAGUGAGACAGGGUCUAGGUCUGCUGGUUCAGUGUGACAGGGUCUAGGUCUGCUGGUUCAGUGAGACAGGGUCUAGGUCUGCUGGUUCAGUACCACUACGUCUUGGCUGGUUCAGUGAG